CCCGGUCCGCCGCCACAAGCCGGCCUCCGAGAAGCCCGCGGGAACGUUACCCUCGGUGCUGGAGUUGCCGCCAUCGCCGCCGCUACCACGACGGCAGAUACGCGAACCUCUCCACUCGGCACCCGCCGCCAUCUUCUCUUUCAAACAUUCAGGCUUGGGGAUGCCAGAAGCAGCUGGGAGUGAAAAUGAAAUGAUUUCACAACUUCAACAAGUUAGGAACUACAAAGAAUAUGAAGGUAUUGACAAUCAUUAGGAAUGUGACAAUAAAAAUGAAGAUUUGGAGGAUACAAUUUUCAAAAGGAUUAUAUGAAGUUUUAGACUCUUCUACUCUGGAACUCUGCUGGAGAAGGCUUCGGGAGUAAACCCCAAGGAAACGUCUGGAGCUGGAGUCCUAAAGCAGUCCUACGUUGAGUUCAAUGUUGACUGGCAACUCUUGUGAUGCCACUGAUGCCAAACUGUAUCAGCGUCUACCAUUUCUUUUGAUUCAUCAGCUACGUGGAGAGGAGGAACCUGCUGCAUGGGCAACAACUUGCUCUCCAUAUAGUACUAGCCAGUAUCCACGUCCGUGUUCAACUCUGACCAACAGAGGACCUCACUCUAGGAAAAAGACACCUCAUCUACUUUCUUCAUGAUUUUAUAUAACCUUCAUAAUCUCUCCACUCAACAUCCUACUCUCCAAGGAAAAAAGAGCAUAUCCAACAUCUUCUCACUCUCAAGCUGUCAAGUCGUCCUCACAAAACCAUUCUGCGUCCUCUCCAGUUCAGUAACAUCUCUACAGCUCGGUGACCAGACCUACACACAAAAGUAGUCAGAAUUAGAGAGUCAGAGAUCUUAGGAGGUUGGAGGAGACUACAGAGAUAGGGAGAGGACUAUAUAUUGAUUGGAAAUGCACCGUUCUGGAAAAGACCACUCUAAGAAAUAUACUAAUGACAACAUUAAGAACUUUUAUCAAACUAUCAAACAAGGACACAUGUCAGGAUACUAUUUCUGGAUUUCAGCUUGCCAUUAAACACUAUUGUGCCACAGACCUUGGUGAAAAAAUUCCUAGUCCUUGGUCUAAAUACACUGUUGAGUGACUGGGCGUUGGACUUUCUAACUAACAGACCUCAGAUAGUCAGGGUGCACAACUGUUCCAUCAUCUUCAACAUGGGUGCCACCUCAGGGCUGUGUGCUGAGCCCAUUGCUGUAUAGCCCACUCACACCUGAGUAAUCGCCAAGUUCACCGAUGACAAGACAUUGACAUCACCAACAAUGAUGAGACAGCCUGCAGAGAGGAAGUGGAAGAGUUUGAAGCCUGAUGCCAGGCACAUAACCUCUUCUUCAAUGUCAACAAGACAAAAAAGAUGGUUAUCAGCCAAAGGAGAACUUGCAGUGCUCAUACCUCUCUUUGCAUUGGCAGCACAGCAUUGGAAACAAGCUCCUGGGAAUGCACAUCUCGCACAACUUCUCAUGGUCCCAGAACAGAUCCUACAUUACCAAGAAAACUUACCAACACCUCUACUUUCUCUGGAGAUGGAAGAAAGCUGGACUCAUGAUGUUCUACAGAUGCGCAGAAGAGAACAUUCAGACAUGCUGCAAUAUUGCAUGGUACAGAAACUGCAGUGUGGUGGACAGGAAGGCACUAGAGUAGGAAGUCAAAACUGCCCAUGCAUCACCGGCACCUGCCUACCUGCCAUCAAGGAUAUAUUUAUAGAACGGUGCCAGAAAAGGGCCAGCAAUAUCAUGAAGAAUCCCAACCACCUUGCUAAUGAGCUCCCACCACAGAGGAGGCUACGUAACAUCACCACACUCACAAUCAGUUACUUUCCCCAAGCAGUAAGGUUGAUCAACACCUCCACCCACUAACCUAUCCUAUCACAACCCCCACCACCACUGCUUUAUUAUUUCCUAUCAGAGUCACCUUAUGUACAGACACUCCUGUACCCAGUAUCACUUUAUAUACUUAUAUACAAUCAAUCUAUGUAAAUAAGCUAUCUUAUGUAUUUAUAUUUAUUGUGUUUUGAUUGUGUUCUUUAUCUUAGUGUCUUUUUUAUAUGCUGCAUCGGAUCCAGAGUAACAAUUAUUUUGUUCUCCUUCACACUUGUGUACUGGAAAUGACAAUAAACAAUCUUGAA